UUUAUUUUUGUUUUGUUUUUGUU
rnacentral:sRNA from 1 species